ensembl:lncRNA
GCAGGAGGAGGCUCUGAGCAGAAAGGAAAUGGAAACUGAAACUCAUCUGGGUCACCAGCGCCCAGGUAGGGGAGCCUGUUAGUGGGGCCCCCAUUCCAGGACAGGCAGCGCCUGGGGAGUCACAGCCCUUUGGAAGCCGCAGGCGUCCACCCUCACGGAGAGCAGCAGUUUUCACUUGGAGCAAGCCCUUACUUCAAGUCCUGGUCACUGGCAGCCGAGCACCAUCUUAGCCUCGCUGUGAAUCGCGUGGACCCACACUCAGGGUGCUGUACUCACAGGCCCACAGCACCCCAGGGUGGGUCUCCGCCCUUCCUCAGCCGCUCCACUGAGGGCUUGGCCCUUCCCACUGGUUCCCACAGCUCGCUCACACCCCGCUCCUGCCCGGCAGCGAGUGCUGCUUCGCUUAACCUGAGAGAAGGCAGCUGGGCUCCGUGAAGCUGCAAAGCACCUGUGCCCUUGGCCCCGGACCCAGCCCGAAGUCUGCUCCUCCUGCUUGGACGUCCUCCCCACACUCGCCUCCAGGCCCCCACGCGGCCAGCCCCGGGCCUCUUAGAUAGAUUUUCCUGCUUGCACUGAACACACCUGGCAGAAACACUGCACCCACAGGGCGAUUUUCGGAUCGGCCUCAGGCCGGGCAACCCCACUGCCCCCUUCCCAGUCCCGGAGCCUGUGGGGUCCUGGUGCCCCAGGGACCCCAGCUGCAGGGGUCUGCUCCCUCUGAGGAGGAGUCCUUAAAUCCUCAUGGAUUCUAAUUCGUGGUACCUGAAAUUGAAUCCAUGGCUUUCACAAUGACAACCGUUUUCAUUUUAACAAUUUUGAUUCUUAGGGCCUUCCUACAUCACUAAGUUAUCUGGGCUGGAACUUCCCACCUCAGCCUCCCUGAGGGCUGGAUGACAGGUGUGCACCAGCAUGCCAGGCGUGGCACCCUGCUGAAAGGCUGCCCGAGUGCCCCAGUGUGGGGACAGCACUGCCCCACGCUGCCCGGCUCGCUGUAGACGCCCUGCUUGGCUUCUGCACCCCCACCCUCUCCUUCAACCCCGCUGGGUCUGCCUCUCCUCAGUCAACUCCGGUUGGUUGGGAAGAAAGGCCGAGAGCCCGGGCCUCGCCCAGGCAGACUCGGGUCCUACGAGGUUGACAGCGGGGUGGAUGGAGUAGCUGGGCGGGCCCGGCAUCCUGACUGAGGACCGGCCCAGCGCGCAGCUCAGGAGCUGGAGUCGAAACCCCGGGCGCGCGAGGCCCGAGGGGUGUUUUCUGAACGUCCUCUCGGUCUCAAGUACUUCCUUCCUGAGCCGCCGGCUGCUGAGCAGACAAAUACCCUGGGGCACAGGUUGCAGGUGAGGAGUCGGCCGGGCUAGAGACUGCAGGGCCCAGGCUGCAGGCACCGGAUCUUCAGUCCUUCAUUUGGUAUCUGGUGCUGUUCACAGGACCAAUCAGAAGAUGCUGUUUUCAAUCCCUCAUUUGCAUAGGGGCACAGCCAAUCGAAAGACGCUGUUGUUGAUCCUUCAUUUACAUAUGUCUACUUCUAACUGUCUGAUGCCCAGUGAUAGGGUGACUGCCCAAUGCCUCAUUUGCACGAGAAGGAGAUAACCCGGGAAUCUGGAGGAUAAAGACUUCCUCAUCCUCCGCUUGUGCCCCAAAGAGCGCAUUUCCACCUGGCUGCCUUUUCUGUGUCCUGUCCAGUUCUUUUUGUGGGACACCAACGAGGGAGAGAAACCCCGGGGACCCUACUUGGUGGCAGAAAGGUCCACGGUGCCCCUGAGUCCGCCGGCGGGGACAGCAGAUGGCCCGACUCUCCCAGGACCCGUCGACCACAGACAGAGAAUCCCACAGCAGGGUGCUCCCUGCCUCCGGAGCAGGCCUGCUUCUCUGCCUUCUCCCACCCUGGUCCCAUUUCUGUCCCCAGAGGAGGAAGGUGGUGAGUGUGGCAGAUUUUUAAACAAGUGUACACGGAUGUCCCGGGACGUCGCCUAGACACGGGGGCCACCACGGAGGGGAAGCUUGCUCCGCUGGGCCUGGGGUGGCUCCCAGCCCGGCCGCACCUGUUGGGCCCGGUUGGGGCUGGAAUACAGCCUCUCUCGUUGCUUCACCCCUCCCUGCCAGGAGAGGGCGCCGGUACGCCGGAGACCGCAGGGCGGGUACCCAGAUGAGCUGAGGCAAAGCCUGAUGCCUGGGAAACGCCACCUGUGACGCUUAGUUUUUAAAUAGGCAGAUUAAAAUCUGUGAUAUUUUUUCCAAGUUUGUCAGCUCCUUUGGCUUUUGUGUAUUGGCUGUGUGUCAGUUUUCUAUUUCUUUUUCACCUUUGAGAAACGUGUACAUGAGCACGAGUGUUAGAAUUUUGCUGGAGUUUUUAAUGGAUUUGGGUCCAGGUUUGGAGAGCUAUGGUUUCAUGUUUAAUAUCUGAAUCUUCUAUCCAUCUGCACUGACCAUCUCCUGGAGUUUUUAUAGACAGAUGAGCUAGGUAGAAAUAUUAGAGGCAGUCAGAUAGGGCUGGGUCCUCGAGAGGGCCAGGACAAAGGUGAAACACAGCACAGCUGCACAUCGGCUGAAGACCAGGCCUCGGGAUGGAGACAGGAUGACCAGACCCACACGCUUCUUCAAAGAACUGGGCCUAGGGGAGUGUAGAUGGGCAUCGACCACCCUGGGGGUGACCAGAGACCUCCGGACCCACUGUCCCCUAGGAAAAUCCUUGUUCUCUCCAUCCACCCUUGGUUCGUGACUUGCUUCCCAAUCGGAAACCGUUACCUAGGUGACUACGCUUGUGACCUUAUUGGGUGCUCAUGGCGUGGCCCAUGUGGGUUUCACCCUAUACAACUUCUCUGUAAAGUGGGGUCCUUGGCCACCCCCUCGGGACCCUUCCUGCCCCUCAGGAGCUGUCCUAUCAAUAAAUAUCUUCCUACUUUUGGGGGUUUUUUUGGAACCAGGAAUUGAACUCAGGACCGAACUUGGGACCUUCUGCUUUGGAGGCAGGUGGCGGAAGCACUGAGCUCAAUCCCCAGCCCUAUCUUCCUACUUUUAACCUCUGUCAUUCCUAGGACUCAUUCUUUGAUUUCCAGAGGACAAGAACUGGGUGUAUCAUGCAGUUAACAGGUUGGGAGAUGUCAUAGUUCCUGUUUCCCGUGACAGUGUCAGACGUGUCCCCACUGUUUCAACAACAUGUACUGGGUCCUCGCCUUCUACCUGGGGUCACACACACCAUGCAGCCUUCGUUGCUGUGGACCUUCUUCUGCUCUCAUCUCCCUUGCCCUCCCUCUUCUUUUCAUUUCUCUUUCUGGUACUGGGGGUGGAGCCCAGGACUCUUCACACGGAGCCACACUCCCAGGCUUUAAAAAUAUUUAAUUUUAAAACAAAUAGUUGAUAAUUUGAAAUAGGAACAAAAGGUCCAAAGGGGUAG